GGUGGACGCUUACGCUUCUUUUUCUCGUAGCUAAUCCCUCUCGCUUUGGACUGCAAAUCACGAACCUCACGAAGGUAAAGCCUUACUGCACGAGCUCCAAAAGGGUUUGCUUCAGGUUUGCCUCCAUUUUCCUCGAAGGCUGCCCGGAGGCGUCCGAUGAGCGCGUCGAGACUGCCCCAGGCCUGGCGAAGAGGACACGGGCAGGGAGCAGGGGGAUUUGGGUGGCCAUAAAAAGGGCAGAUUGGGGUGUGCACUUUGGUCUUGCCAAAUUGGUCCAGAUAGCGAAGGAAUUCAAGGACAUGAGCUCCACUGCACCUGGAGAGAGAGAGGGGAGG
rnacentral:misc_RNA from 1 species